GGGGAUGUAGCUCAGUUGGCUAGAGCGCUUGACUGGCAGUCAAGAGGUCGUGGGUUCGAGACCCAUCUUCUCCA
rnacentral:tRNA from 1 species